AUUGAGCGCUGGCGGCAUGCCUUACACAUGCAAGUCGAACGGUAACAGGUCUUCGGAUGCUGACGAGUGGCGAACGGGUGAGUAAUACAUCGGAACGUGCCUAGUAGUGGGGGAUAACUACUCGAAAGAGUGGCUAAUACCGCAUGAGAUCUACGGAUGAAAGCAGGGGAUCGCAAGACCUUGUGCUACUAGAGCGGCCGAUGGCAGAUUAGGUAGUUGGUGGGAUAAAAGCUUACCAAGCCGACGAUCUGUAGCUGGUCUGAGAGGACGAUCAGCCACACUGGGACUGAGACACGGCCCAGACUCCGACGGGAGGCAGCAGUGGGGAAUUUUGGACAAUGGGCGCAAGCCUGAUCCAGCAAUGCCGCGUGCAGGAUGAAGGCCUUCGGGUUGUAAACUGCUUUUGUACGGAACGAAAAGCCCUGGGUUAAUACCCUGGGGUCAUGACGGUACCGUAAGAAUAAGCACCGGCUAACUACGUGCCAGCAGCCGCAGUAACAC
rnacentral:rRNA from 1 species